rnacentral:rRNA from 1 species
UACGGAGGGUGCAAGCGUUGUCCGGAAUCACUGGGCGUAAAGGGCGCGUAGGCGGCUCAUGAAGGCUGUGGUGAAAGUCCGGGGCUCAACCUCGGAUCGGCCGUGGCGACUCGUGGGCUGGAGCACUGUAGAGGCGGGUGGAAUUCCGGGUGUAGCGGUGGAAUGCGUAGAUAUCGGGAGGAACACCUGUGGCGAAAGCGGCGCACUGGACCAUAACUGACGCUGAGGCACGAAAGCUAGGGGAGCAAACAGG